UGGGGAAUAUUGCGCAAUGGGGGAAACCCUGACGCAGCGACGCCGCGUGCGGGAUGAAGGCCUUCGGGUUGUAAACCGCUUUUGAUUGGGAGCAAGCCUUUUGGGUGAGUGUACCUUUCGAAUAAGCGCCGGCUAACUACGUGCCAGCAGCCGCGGUAAUACGUAGGGCGCAAGCGUUAUCCGGAAUUAUUGGGCGUAAAGCGAGCGCAGGCGGUUAGAAAAGUCUGAAGUGAAAGGCAGUGGCUCAACCAUUGUAGGCUUUGGAAACUGUUUAACUUGAGUGCAGAAGGGGAGAGUGGAAUUCCAUGUGUAGCGGUGAAAUGCGUAGAUAUAUGGAGGAACACCGGUGGCGAAGGCGACUUUCUGGACUUUUACUGACGCUCAGGUACGAAAGCGUGGGGAGCAAACAGG
rnacentral:rRNA from 1 species